UGAAUUAUCAAAAAUACCUUACUGUAAUGAUUUCACACCUCCAUGCCGCGCGUGCGCAGUGCGCGGAGAGGCAGCAACUUCAAAACCCAUCACGGGGACGCACCACCAAGAGCCAGAGCGUGUGACCACUGUGCGGACCUAAAACAAACACAAAGAAUUUCAAGUGUCGUAAGAGGAUUCAAGCUUGGUUUCGAGGGUAUCUUCAGACAGCUACUGAUAGACCUAAUCUAAAGAUCAGUGAUCAAGACCGAAUUUAAGGGUGAUCCAAUUCUUCCAAGCUGCUAUUAGUUCUCCUUUUACUUAGCCCAUUUUUUGCUGACUUAGAUUAGUACUUUAGAUAUUCGUUUGUUUCAUUUUGGGGUUGUGCCCUCUCCGUAGACUUGUUGAACUUUAGAGUUUUGUACAUUGACUUUCAGGUUCUAGACCUUGUUUCUGCAAAUGUUUAGUAAUGGUUUGUUAAACUUUCGGAGAUUAUGGGAACUCCAGUUUGUUUCCGCAUUUAAACCUA